rnacentral:rRNA from 1 species
UGGUCAAUGGCCUAACGGCUGAACCAGCAACUUAAAAGAAUGAAAGACCGAAGUCAUUUUCGGUUACCAUAUAAUAGUAUUUGGGGCAUAAUAUGCGAAUAGUUCGAAGCAAAUCUUGAUUAUGACAUAAUUUGCUUUUAAGUCUUGACUAACUCAUGUGCCAGCAGUCGCGGUAAGACAUGGAAGGCUGCGUUAUUCAUGUUUAUUAGGUUUAAAGGGUACCUAGACGGUAAUUAUUAGCUUUUUUUUAANAAUCUUGUACUAUAAAUACUAGAGUUUUAUGUAAGGAGAUUUCGAACGGUGUGUGGAGGGAUUUAAUCUUUUGAUACCACUUAGAUACUGGUAUAGGUGAAGACAAAAUCCUAUGUAAAAACUGACGUUGAGAGACGAAGGCUAGAUAAAAGAAAAGGGACUAGUUAACCCAGUACUACUAGCAGACAAUGAUGAAUGCCAUAUGUAAGAAAAAUUUUAUAUAUAAAUGAAAGUGUAAGCAUUCCACCUUAAGAGUAAUAUGGCAACAUAUAAACUGAAAUCAUUAGGCCGCUUCUGGAAUUCGUAGUGAAGUAUGUUAUUUAAUUUGAUGAUCCCCAAAGGACCUUACCACAGUGUGAUAUAGUUAUAUACGUAAGUAUAUUUCAGACAAGUGUUGCACGGCUGUCUGCAGUUGAUGUCGUGAGAAGCGAUUAACUUCGUUAAUCAACGUAAUCCCUGACUUUAUUUAAAAUAAAGUAUUAUUUUCGGUGAUAGAAAAAAUCGAAUUUUUCUAUAUGGGAGUAUGACAAGUCAUCAUGACCAAAUAUAAAAAAUGAGAGUAUUGUGGGCGAUAGACGUGCCACGAUUAACCUAAACAAAAAGAUGCAUAAUUGAAAGAUUCAGCUAAUCUUUAAAAUAGGUAAGAAUAUGGAUUG